rnacentral:rRNA from 1 species
AGUGAACGCUGGCGGUAGGCCUAACACAUGCAAGUCGAACGGCAGCACAGAGGAGCUUGCUCCUUGGGUGGCGAGUGGCGGACGGGUGAGGAAUACAUCGGAAUCUACUCUGUCGUGGGGGAUAACGUAGGGAAACUUACGCUAAUACCGCAUACGACCUACGGGUGAAAGCAGGGGACCUUCGGGCCUUGCGCGAUUGAAUGAGCCGAUGUCGGAUUAGCUAGUUGGCGGGGUAAAGGCCCACCAAGGCGACGAUCCGUAGUUGGUCUGAGAGGAUGAUCAGCCACACUGGAACUGAGACACGGUCCAGACUCCUACGGGAGGCAGCAGUGGGGAAUAUUGGACAAUGGGCGCAAGCCUGAUCCAGCCAUACCGCGUGGGUGAAGAAGGCCUUCGGGUUGUAAGGCCCUUUUGUUGGGAAAGAAAUCCAGCUGGCUAAUACCCGGUUGGGGUGACGGUACCCAAAGAAUAAGCACCGGCUAACUUCGUGCCAGCCGCCGCCGUAA